UACGUAGGUGGCAAGCGUUGUCCGGAAUUAUUGGGCGUAAAGCGCGCGCAGGCGGUCCUUUAAGUCUGAUGUGAAAGCCCACGGCUUAACCGUGGAGGGUCAUUGGAAACUGGGGGACUUGAGUACAGAAGAGGAAAGCGGAAUUCCACGUGUAGCGGUGAAAUGCGUAGAUAUCUGGAGGAACACCGGUGGCGAAGGCGGCAUCCUGGACCGAUACUGACGCUGAGGAGCGAAAGCCAGGGGAGCAAACGGG
rnacentral:rRNA from 1 species